rnacentral:rRNA from 1 species
AUACGAAGGGUGCGAGCGUUAAUCGGAAUUACUGGGCGUAAAGCGUGCGUAGGCGGUUGAUUUAGUCAGAUGUGAAAGCCCCGGGCUCAACCUGGGAACUGCAUUUGAAACUGGUCAACUGGAGUAUGGUAGAGGGGGGUAGAAUUUCUGGUGUAGCGGUGAAAUGCGUAGAUAUCAGAAGGAAUACCGAUGGCGAAGGCAGCCCCCUGGACCAAUACUGACGCUGAGGUACGAAAGCGUGGGGAGCACACAGGAUUAGAAACCCCGGUAGUCC